rnacentral:tRNA from 1 species
CAGGGUGUGGUGUAGUGGUCGCAUGGCUGCCUUGGAAGCAGGCGGACGCAGUUCAAUUCUGCGCACCCUGA